rnacentral:rRNA from 1 species
UGGGGAAUUUUGGACAAUGGGCGAAAGCCUGAUCCAGCCAUGCCGCGUGAGUGAAGAAGGCCUUCGGGUUGUAAAGCUCUUUUAGUCGGAAAGAAAGAGUUGCAAUGAAUAAUUGUGAUUUAUGACGGUACCGACAGAGAAAGCACCGGCUAACUACGUGCCAGCAGCCGCGGUAAUACGUAGGGUGCGAGCGUUAAUCGGAAUUACUGGGCGUAAAGGGUGCGCAGGCGGUCUUGCAAGUCAGAUGUGAAAGCCCCGGGCUUAACCUGGGAAUUGCGUUUGAAACUACAAGACUAGAGUGCAGCAGAGGGGAGUGGAAUUCCAUGUGUAGCAGUGAAAUGCGUAGAGAUGUGGAAGAACACCGAUGGCGAAGGCAGCUCCCUGGGUUGACACUGACGCUCAUGCACGAAAGCGUGGGGAGCAAACA